GCCGAGAUCGCAUAACUUGGUAUUGCACUAGCCUUGAGAGCUAGGCCUUUCGGGGCUUCUGGGUUCGAAUCCCAGUCUCGGCG
rnacentral:tRNA from 1 species